GUUGAGGGUCUGACCUCAUGAGGAAAUUACUAUGCAGUGAUUUUCUCCAAAAUGACUGUGCUUAAAUUGCUCUGAAAAGCAAAUAAUCACAUCAGCGCCAAGAAACUUCAUUUCCCAUGAUGCUUUGCACACGGAAGCAUUGUGAUGACGUCACCGCCUAGUACCAGAAACACAUUCUGCGCAUGUGCGGGAAGCCGUGGAGCUUUUCCCGCGAACUAAGACCAUAAAUCUUCAGCAGAGACAAAGAAUCCUCGUUCUUUUGCCCAGGAUACCUGGCGGUAAGGACACGCUUAUCGAACGCUCCGAUUCCCUUGAGCACGCGGAAGCUCUAAGUGCCCAAGUUGAGGACACAGAACGGCGGAGGAAAGCAACAACUCCAUCCAGCUCUCUGAGACGCUCCCGUGGAGAAACACUCGUGAACGCCAAACAACGGAGAAAGCAUCAAACCGACGGACGACGCCGAAAGCUGCGGAGAAACACGGAGAACCGUCAAAUCAAAACAGUGAGGGACGCUUCACUGUUCUGGUGAUCAGAAACUCAUCUCUUUCUCUCAUUCUUUCCUUCUCCCGUUUCCUCUAUAGUCUCGAAUAAGCAAUAAACCGCGUCUAUUGCUUAAAAAGUAGCUUCGUGCUUUCCUCUUUCGUCCCAAACACGUCAGUCGGGUCAUUUUGAAAGAAUAAACUGCUUAUUGAUCAUUGUUUGGUAUCUUUAAAUGUUUUCUGCUUGGCCACGUGGUUAAACUAAAAGAUAUUAUUCGUGAUUAAUCUUUUGUGUUGUUUCAUGAUCUUUUGAAAUGUUUUGAGUGAUUUAAGGUUAAGUUACUACUGAUUCUAAGUGCUUUGGAAGUUAAAGUGCAAGUUGCCACCCACACUUUAGCCAGACAAAGGGGUCAGCCAUCUUGUAUUCAAGACUCCAUUUUGAAUCCAUACACACACACACACACACACACACUACUCCUUUGUGAGAACAAAGGACCCCAUUCAUACAUCCUCCAUCACAUGCAAACACAUCCAUCUUCAAUCAUAUCACAUGGUUAUUAUUCAUCUAUUCCACUGUUUAUUCAUUUGACAAAUUGUUAAUUAAAUGUUAUAAAAUUCA